GACGAACGCUGGCGGCGUGCUUAACACAUGCAAGUCGAACGGAAAGGCCCUGCUUUUGUGGGGUGCUCGAGUGGCGAACGGGUGAGUAACACGUUAGUAACCUGCCCUUGACUUUGGGAUAACUUCAGGAAACUGGGGCUAAUACCGGAUAGGAGCUCCUGCUGCAUGGUGGGGGUUGGAAAGUUUCGGCGGUUGGGGAUGGACUCGCGGCUUAUCAGCUUGUUGGUGGGGUAGUGGCUUACCAAGGCUUUGACGGGUAGCCGGCCUGAGAGGGUGACCGGCCACAUUGGGACUGAGAUACGGCCAAGACUCCUACGGGAGGCAGCAGUGGGGAAUAUUGCACAAUGGGCGGAAGCCUGAUGCAGCAACGCCGCGUGCGGGAUGACGGCCUUCGGGUUGUAAACCGCUUUCGCCUGUGACGAAGCGUGUGUGACGGUAAUGGGUAAAGAAGCACCGGCUAACUACGUG
rnacentral:rRNA from 1 species